rnacentral:rRNA from 1 species
AGCGAACGCUGGCGGCAGGCUUAACACAUGCAAGUCGAACGCCCCGCAUGGGGAGUGGCAGACGGGUGAGUAACACGUGGGAACGUACCCUUUGGUUCGGAAUAACUUGGGGAAACUCAAGCAAAUACCGGAUACGCCAUUAUGGGGAAAGGUUUACUGCCGAAGGAUCGGCCCGCGUCUGAUUAGCUAGUUGGUGAGGUAAUGGAUCACCAAGGCGACGAUCAGGAGCUGGUCUGAGAGGAUGAUCAGCCACACUGGGACUGAGACAAGGCCCAGACUCCUACGGGAGGCAGCAGUGGGGAAUAUUGGACAAUGGGGGCAACCCUGAUCCAGCCAUGCCGCGUGAGUGAUGAAGGCCUUAGGGUUGUAAAGCUCUUUUACCCGGGACGAUAAUGACUGUACCGGGAGAAUAAGCCCCGGCUAACUUCGUGCCAGCCGCCGCCGUAA